AGGGCUAUAGCUCAGUUGGUAGAGCGCCUCGUUUACACCGAGAAAGUCUACGGUUCGAGUCCGUAUAGCCCUA
rnacentral:tRNA from 3 species